rnacentral:lncRNA from 1 species
ACCCGCUGCCAGGGCUCCAGUCAAGGAACUCCUUGCAUUGCUCUAAACACAUCCUAGGGGCUCCUGCCCCCCUCAACAUGCCAGCAUGCCUGGAUCCCUAAGAUCAGUGAGGUUUCCAGACUUCCUCCGUCUUUUUGUCCUGCACGAAAGCGCUUUGCUGGGUGCGCAAGUGUGCGUGUGAGGAGCGGAGAGGAGCGCCGGGAGGGAGAUUGGGACAAUAGCUGGAGUGGAUUACUCAUUCCCGUAGGCAAUACUUGCCUGUAUGGGCUUCAGGAUGCAGUUGGAAGCUUGGGAACAAAGCGGGCAUCGAAUGUCAAGGAUCCUUUUGAGGAAGAAAUAGUUCUGCUAGGACUCCAUACUUGGACUUUGGAGGGCAUGGCACAGCGGUCUGAUAUGAGAGCACUAUCCCUGCAGAUGGAAACUGUCCUCUGUAUCCUGCGCCCUGCAAGAGAGGCAGCGAGGGGACACUUGAAGUAACCAAGCAUCUGGCAUCAAGCCUGACAAUCCACUUCACACUAUGUGAAGGAAAGUUUGUUCCAAACCACAUACUUUGUGGUGCUCAAUACUGGUGUCAAACUGGUUUGAACUGUCCCAGGUCUAAAAUAAAUAUCUCCAUUAUGGUAUGACA